rnacentral:rRNA from 1 species
UACGUAGGGUGCAAGCGUUAAUCGGAAUUACGUGGGCGUAAAGCGUGCGCAGGCGGUUAUGUAAGACAGGUGUGAAAUCCCCGGGCUUAAACCUGGGAACUGCCAUUUGUGACUGCAUAGCUAGAGUACGGCAGAGGGGGAUGGAAUUCCGCGUGAGCAGUGAAAUGCGUAGAUAUGCGGAGGAACACCGAUGGCGAAGGCAAUCCCCUGGGUCAAGAUGCGACUCAUGCACGAAAAGCGUGGGGGAGCAAACAGG